UCUCCCUCAAUGACUUCUCCUUGUUUGAUGAAGUGAUUGUAUCAUCGUUGCUGUUGAUGGAAUGAAAGGUAACUUUUUUCCUGUCAGAGUCUGAUUCAUCUUUUGCUGUUUUGGUUCUAAUUUUUGUAAUCGUUGUGUCUGUUUCUCUGAUUUUUUCUGCACGAAUGUUGUGGGAACUCUUGGUCGAAGAAGAACCAGAUGAUGAUGAUGUUUUAUCGAGCUUUCUGGAGGUAAAGCAAGACGAACCCCAUUCUUGCACCUUGAUGGCAAAACUGGAUUUGGAACCAGUACUGAUGAAACUUGUUGCAUUACUCUCUCUUCCAGGACUCGACCCUGAGUAUUUUUCUCUGUUGAUUACCAGGGAAAAGUCUGUUAGUCCCUUGUAAUAAGGACUGCUGGUCGAAUAUCUUGCCUCUAGUCUUUUAUUGAACUCUUCGAGCUUCUGUGCAGUUAGGUCUGAGUUCUUCUUUCUUCCAAUGUAGUCACCGAGUUUCUUUUGGAAGGCAGUGAUUGGUGAGCCGGCUGAGCGAGAAGAGCGCAUGGACUUGGUCGAAGGUAUGUAGGGGUUGGAGGGAGAGGG
rnacentral:lncRNA from 1 species